UUAUGUUAAUAAGCUUAAUUACGUAUUUUAAAAAAUGCACUCAUAUCAAUGAUACUAUUAUGACCAUAAAGAAUUGUUAUUUUUAGGGAGAUAGCUAUUACUUGCAACCCUCUGGACAAGUGAAAGGACUUUGUGGUUUUCCAGGCAGAGAUGGAGAUAAAGUAAGAGAAUUUAUUAUGAGAAUAAAGUUACAAAUGCAGAUUGAACAUCUGUACAAGCACUUUACGCCUUAUAUUAUGUAUUUUGUUAUAUUCUGUGCCAGUUUUUUGACUGAGCUUGCUAAUUGGUUGUGGAUCUGCAGGGGUACCCGGGAUUGCCAGGGUUACCAGGACCAGUUGGACCAGAGGGGCCUAGAGGUUUUCCAGGAAUAGACGGCAUUCCUGGACCACAAGGAGAGAAGGGUCUAGAGGGUGGAAGCAUGGUAAUACCUGGACCCAAAGGUCAUAAGGUCAGAAUUAUCAACUUUUGCUUUCUCUUAAAAACAUGUCUGUGACCUACAGAAAAUGAAUGUGCAAGGUAAUCCAUUUGAUUUUAGUUUUUAAUAAUGGUCUCUUUAAUCUGAUUUUAUGAACUCUUAAAUGUAUUACUGGGGCUCUGCUGUAGGGGGAGAGGGGACCACCUGGUGUACAAGGACAAAAAGGCAUAAAGUUAUUUGUAUCAGGACCAAAGGAGCUUAAGGUAACAUGCCCCUCACUUAAAAGUCAUCCAUUGUAAUUUUUAUGUGUUUUUGCCCAAUAUAUACUGUUGUACUCUGUAAUCCAAAUGAAUGAAUUGGAGUUUUCUGAAAAGUCACCCUCUUUUUGGUUUCAGGGUGACCUUGGGGAUCCUGGAGACAUUGGAUGUCCUGGCCCAGCUGUUAGUAGACAAACCCAUUUUUUAAAGUUUUUUGUUGUUGUUGAUGCUGUUGUUUAAAUUGUUUAAUUGAGAUUGCUUUAACUGAUGUGCAAUCACUCACAAAGUUCAACUGAUGUAUUCUGCAGGGUUUCCGUGGUCGUCCUGGUCCUAAGGGGGAGAAAGGGGAAAUUGGGUGGCCUGGGGGUCCGGUAAAUAACUAAAUUGAGAGAGAGAGAGAGAGAGAGAGAGAGAGAGAGAGAGAGAGAACACUACUACGUUCCUACCACUACACACACACACACACACACACACACACACUACACACACACACACACACACAUAUAUAUAUAUAUAUAUAUAUAUAUAUAUAUAUAUAUAUAUGCACAUACAUACACUAGUCAAUAUUUGAAGUGGAUCAAAACCUUGCAUCAAAGUUGUCCUAAAACCUAAAACCAAAAUGCGCUCUUGUCUUAGGACAAUUUUAAUGAACUUUUUUGAUCCACUUCACAUGUUGACUACUGUAUAUAUGGAUUUUGAGUAUUAUAAUUUAGGUUUUAUUUGAUUUAUUUAUUUAUUUUUUAAACCAUGGCUGAUUUUCAGGGAAAAUCCGGAAAGGAUGGACUGACAGGAGAAUCAGGCCUUAAGGUGAGCACAAAACCAAAUAUAAAAAAGCCUACAGGUCACCACACUGGGCAGUUUUUGGUUAUUAAACCAUCAUGUUCUUCAAAUUCAAUAAUAAAGGUGAAGGGAAAGGGUAUUUAGAUGGAAUGCAGGUUUUAUGACAAUGAGG
rnacentral:lncRNA from 1 species